rnacentral:rRNA from 1 species
UACGUAGGGGGCAAGCGUUGUCCGGAUUCAUUGGGCGUAAAGGGUGCGUAGGCGGCGCGGUAAGUCGGGUGUGAAAUCUCGGAGCUUAACUCCGAAACUGCAUUCGAUACUGCCGUGCUUGAGGACUGGAGAGGAGACUGGAAUUUACGGUGUAGCGGUGAAAUGCGUAGAUAUCGUAAGGAAGACCAGUGGCGAAGGCGGGUCUCUGGACAGUUCCUGACACUGAGACACGAAGGCCAGGGGAGCAAACGGG